rnacentral:rRNA from 1 species
CCUACGCGAGGCUGCAGUGAGGAAUAUUGGUCAAUGGCCGCAGGUCUGAACCAGCCAAGUCGCGUGAGGGAUGACGGUCCUAUGGAUUGUAAACCUCUUUUGUCAGGGAGCAAAGUGCGCCACGUGUGGCGUUUUGCGAGUACCUUAAGAACAAGCAUCGGCUAACUCCGUGCCAGCAGCCGCGGUAAUACGGAGGAUGCGCGCGUUAUCCGGCUUUAUUGGGUUUAAAGGGUGCGCAGGCGGAAUGUCAAGUCAGCGGUAAAAUUUCGGGGCUCAACCCCGUCGUGGCGUUGAAACUGGCGUUCUUGAGUGAGCGAGAAGUAGGCGGAAUGCGUGGUGUAGCGGUGAAAUGCAUAGAUAGCACGCAGAACUCCGAUUGCGAAGGCAGCAUACCGGCGCGCAACUGACGCUCAUGCACGAAAGCGUGGGUAUCGAACAGGAUUAGAUACCCGGGUAGUC